GGGGAUGUAGCUCAAUUGGGAGAGCGUCGGCUUUGCAAGCCGAAGGUCACCGGUUCGAUCCCGGUCAUCUCCA
rnacentral:tRNA from 1 species